rnacentral:rRNA from 1 species
CGACCGGGUGAGUAACACGUGACUAACCUACCCUCGAUGGGGGAAUAACUCCGGGAAACCGGGGCUAAUACCGCAUAACAUCUUCGGAACGCGAGUUCUGUUGAUCAAAGGAGCAAUUCGCUUGAGGAGGGAGUCGCGGCUGAUUAGCUAGUUGGCGGGGUAAUGGCCCACCAAGGCUUAGAUCGGUAGCCGGCCUGAGAGGGCGCACGGCCACACUGGAACUGAAACACGGUCCAG